UAAACAGAUAUAGGAAGAUGUGGUGUGAGUGCCAAUGAGACAACUCUCCAUACAAAUAACAAUUUAAAAAGUAAACCAUUAUAGGUUAAAGUACGGCCUUCAACACGGAGCCUUGGCUCACACCGAACAACAAGCUAUAAAGGGCCCCAAAAUUACUAGUGUAAAACCAUUCAAACGGGAAAACCAACGGUCUAAUCUAUAUAAACAAAACGAGAAACGAGAAACACGUAUAUAUUACAUAAACAAACGACAACUACUGUACAUCAGAUUCCUGACUUAGGACAGGUGCAAACAUUUGCAGCGGGAUUAAACGUUUUAAUGGAUCCAAACCUUCUCCUUUUUUCUGAAACAAUAGCAUAAC
rnacentral:lncRNA from 1 species